GACGAACGCUGGCGGCGUGCUUAACACAUGCAAGUCGAACGGAAAGGCCCUGCUUUUGUGGGUUGCUCGUGUGGCGCACGGGUGAGUAACACGUGUGUAACAUGCCCUUGUCUUUGGGAUAACUUUUGGAAAAUGCGGCUCAUAUCGGAUAGGAGCUUCUGAUGCAUGGUGGUGGUAGGUAAAUUACGGCGGUUGUGGAUGGUCUGGAGGCUUAUCCGCUUGUUUGUGAGGUAGUGGCUUACGAAGUGUUUGAAGGGUAGCCGGCCUGGGAGGGGGACCAGCGACAUGGGGACUAAGGUACGGCGCAGAAGCCUACGGUAGGCAGCGGGGGAGAGUAUUGCACAAUAGGGGGAAGCCUGAGACAGCAACGCUGCGUUCGUGAUGAUGGCCUUCGGGGGGUAAACCGCUUUCGCCUGAGACGAAGCGUGAGUGACGGUAAUGGGUAAAGAAGCACCGGCUAACUACGUG
rnacentral:rRNA from 1 species